rnacentral:rRNA from 1 species
AUGGCCACCAGUAUUCGUACAGCGGUACGCGGGGAAUGGGUAGAGCAGAGACCGUGCAAGGUGACUGGAAGUCUGGAACGGCGGCUGUUCAGGCGCUCUGGAACACGGCGCCCUUGCGACCACGGUAGCGCUUCUUCAGGUUCUUGGCCGCGCGGUACUUGGUGGUGUCUCCCCAGUCGCCUUCCUCCUCUUCCCACGGGUCGUCUCCGCCACGGCCGCCUUCCUCCUCCUCUCUCCUCCGCCUACGUUCCUCUUCCUCCCUCGGAUCGUCUCCUCGUCCUCCUUGGCCUCCGCCGCCCUCUUCCUCCUCCCUCCUCCGCCUUUCCUCUUCCUCCCUCGGAUCGUCACCUCCUCCGCCGCCUUCUUCCUCCUCCCUCCUCCGCCGUUCUUCCUCCUCCCUUGGAUCAUCACCUCCUCCUCCGCCUUGGCCUCCGCCACCUUCUUCCUCCUCCCUUCUCCUCCUUUCUUCUUCCUCUUCUUGCUCCCUCCUCGCUGCUUCUUCCUCCUCCCUCUCCUUCCUUUCCUUCUCUCUCCUCGCCCUCUCUUCCUCCUCCCUCUGCUUCCUUUCCUUCUCCUCUCUCCUCUCCCUCUCUUCUUCCUCCCGUUUCCUCUGCUCUUCCUCCCUCUGCUUCCUUUCCUUCUCCCUCCUCGCCCUCUCUUCCUCCUCUCGCUUCUUCCGCUCUUCCUCCUCUCUCUGCUUCCUUUCCCUCUCCUCCUCUUCCCGCUCCCGCUCCCCCUUCCCGCCCUCCUGUUCCUCCUGCUCCGCCUUCCUCUCCAGCUCCUCCGCGCACGAGAUGCACGCCAUUAUGGUCGACCCGCUCUUCGCCGACAGCAGCUUCUCCACGGCGGUCGUGUUCUUCUGCCCCAGAGCCAGCGCCACUAUCUCCUUGCCGAUCACCUGCAGCACCGAAUGCUCCCCGGCCAGGAACUGCGGGUUGUUCUCCCCCAUGUGGGUGCUGA